AGCUUGCUCCCUGGACUGUGCUUGGGUAUAUUUGCCAGGCCAGAAGAGCUGCUGGAAGUGGCCCUCAAGGGGCCUCUCUUUUCCCUCUGUCCCCAGCCACAAACAGUAAGAAUUGCUUCUCGCGAAGCCAGUCCUGUGCAGAAGCAGGCAUAACCCGGUGGCCUUCCUGUUUGAGUGUGGGAACUGCAAGACUGUGGCUGAAUCUAGGAGCCGUAUCUGUGCUCCACCCUUUCUCGCAGAAGCAGUGGGCUGACAUCGGUCUAGACUGAAGAGGGAAGAAGUUAUAGGAAGAAGAGAAGACACAGAGCCAGAGGUUACUGGGCGGUGCCACGGUUGGGCAUAUCGCAGUUGUCAGAGCUGGCAGUUGCUUCGGAGAGCCUGGGGUAUUCCAGUUUGUGCUAACAAUGACUCACAUGGGAGAUUUUCACUGAAACUGGCUCGAGUUCUGUGCUCUCAGUCUCCCAGACCUGCUCUCUUCAUAUUUUCCUUUGAGUCGGCUGUCUAGGUCCCUGCACACUUACGAAGCCAGGCACCAUGAGGGAGCUGGAUCAAAAAUGGAAUAACCAACACGUAAACCAACACCCUCAUGGAAUUCACG